GAUGAACGCUGGCGGCGUGCCUAAUACAUGCAAGUCGAGCGAACAGACGAGGAGCUUGCUCCUCUGACGUUAGCGGCGGACGGGUGAGUAACACGUGGAUAACCUACCUAUAAGACUGGGAUAACUUCGGGAAACCGGAGCUAAUACCGGAUAACAUGUUGAACCGCAUGGUUCAACAGUGAAAGACGGUCUUGCUGUCACUUAUAGAUGGAUCCGCGCCGCAUUAGCUAGUUGGUAAGGUAACGGCUUACCAAGGCAACGAUGCGUAGCCGACCUGAGAGGGUGAUCGGCCACACUGGAACUGAGACACGGUCCAGACUCCUACGGGAGGCAGCAGUAGGGAAUCUUCCACAAUGGGCGAAGGCCUGACGGGGCAACGCCGCGUGAGUGAAGAAGGUCUUCGGAUCGUAAAACUCUGUUAUUAGGGAAGAACAAAUGUGUAAGUAACUAUGCACGUCUUGACGGUACCUAAUCAGAAAGCCACGGCUAACUACGUG
rnacentral:rRNA from 1 species